AUGGAGUCUGGGCUGAGCUGGGUUUCACAGUUGUUAUUUUAAAAGGGUGUCCAGUGUGAGGUACAGCUGGUGGAGUCUGGAGAGGACCCAAGACAACCUGGGGUUCCCUGAGACUCUCCUGUGCAGCCUCUGGAUUAACCUUCAGUAGCUACUGAAUGAGCUCGGUUUCCCAGGCUCCAGGGAAGGGGCUGGAGUGAGUAGUAGAUAUACAGUGUGAUGGAAGUCAGAUAUGUUAUGCACAAUCUGUGACGAGCAGAUUCACCGUCUCCAAAGAAAAUGCCAAGAACUCACUGUAUUUGCAAAUGAACAGUCUGAGAGCAGAGGGCACAGCUGUGUGUUAC
rnacentral:lncRNA from 1 species